GGGCGAGUAGCUCAGUACGGAUACACCAACCUGGCUUUUACCGCUCGGCUCUAAAUUAGUCGAGUUUAUGCCAAGGGGUGCCGGAUAGAGCACCAGCCUCCUAAGUUGGGGGUCGAGGGUUCAAAUCCCUCCUCGUCCGCCA
rnacentral:tRNA from 2 species